AUUGAACGCUGGCGGCAGGCCUAACACAUGCAAGUCGAGCGGUAACAGAGAGUAGCUUGCUACUUUGCUGACGAGCGGCGGACGGGUGAGUAAUGCUUGGGAACAUGCCUUGAGGUGGGGGACAACAGUUGGAAACGACUGCUAAUACCGCAUAAUGUCUACGGACCAAAGGGGGCUUCGGCUCUCGCCUUUAGAUUGGCCCAAGUGGGAUUAGCUAGUUGGUGAGGUAAUGGCUCACCAAGGCGACGAUCCCUAGCUGGUUUGAGAGGAUGAUCAGCCACACUGGGACUGAGACACGGCCCAGACUCCUACGGGAGGCAGCAGUGGGGAAUAUUGCACAAUGGGCGCAAGCCUGAUGCAGCCAUGCCGCGUGUGUGAAGAAGGCCUUCGGGUUGUAAAGCACUUUCAGUCAGGAGGAAAGGUUAGUAGUUAAUACCUGCUAGCUGUGACGUUACUGACAGAAGAAGCACCGCUAACU
rnacentral:rRNA from 1 species